CAACCCCUCACAGGAGAACGGAAUUAACAUCAAAUAUAAUUAGCCCCAGGGAUAUCCACAAUUUAUGACGUCAAAACCUUGCCACUUUAUCUCUGGACAGACCAGGACUGCUAUCCCUAGGCAGCUGCUAGCUAGGGCCAUCCUGCCUGGCUGGCAGAACCAUGCUCCUCCUAACAAGAGAACUGGGAAGCACUCCUUUAUCUAAAUUCUACAUAGUGUAGCUUAGUUUUUCUUAAGCAACUUUAGUAUUACUCCCCGUUUGUCCUAGAUGAAUACAGUGCCUUUCUCCUUAUUUCUGAAACUCCAACAGCUCGAAUAGCUAGAUCUUUGUGUGUUACUCCACACAAGGUUUUCCCUGACAGCUUUUGGUGAUUUCUGAUCUGCUUUUUCAAAUGGGAUACUUUCAUUUGGAUUCUAGUUGGUUUUCUUCGUGUGUUGCCCUCAUUUCUGUUACAAUGUUUCAGAUGUUGAGUUUUCUAGUUAAAAAGUUUCUGUUCCUUUUCUCGAUGUCUAUUUUCUGUUAAGAGCUAGUACCUUUCUGUUGGUGGAAGACUAAGUGUUUUGUCCCAGCAUCUAGGGCACCUGGCACUGUUAACCCUCCAUUUUCUUUUUCCGUGCGAAUAGCUCGUCUUUUGCUGGUGUUUCCUGUGAUGGAAAGCUUUUGAUUCUUUGAUGACUGUGCUGUGGGACUCCAUCUUCCCAUAGCUCUCUGCCAUCACUGAGUAGGUCCAUACCAGUCCCAUCUUGUCAUUUCUGCCAAGAGUUCCUAUUGUCACUUAAGCUGUUAGGAUCUGUCCUCUCUCUGUUCCUUUGGGUGUAGCGCAUGCUUGUGCCAUGUAGAGGUUAUCCUGGGACCCAGGCAGGAGUUUCAGUUAAAACCUCGGCUCCUUCGACCUUCACUCUGCUCUUCUGGGUACACACACACACACACACACACACACACACACACGAAGGGUUAUUAGUUAUUCCUCCUGUUGCUGUGAAAAAUCUCUGACCAGCGCAACUGAAGAAAGGAAAGGUUUAUUUUAGCUGCAGGCGUAAGGGUUCAAUCCAUCACGGCAGGAAGGUGUGAGGACAGGAGCAUGAAGCAGCUGGUCACAGGGCAUCCACAGUCAGAUGUGGUGAAGCAGGGAAUGGUGAGUGCGGGUGCCGCACUCCCUUUUUCCGCCCAGCUGCAUCGUAGAACAGAGCAAGUUCAUACCUGUCUGAACGCAACCACAAACCCAUGAGCAUUCUAUCUAUCUAACUUAGCUUUUGAGGCAGGGUCUUUCUGUGUAAUCCUGGCUGUCAGAAAAUCUCUGUAGACGAGGCUGGCCUCAAACAAACUUACAGGGAUCUGCCUCCCGAGUGCUGGGAUUAAAGAUGUGUGCCACUGCACCUGGCUUUAUGAGCAUUUUAUUUAUUCUAAACCCUUCCUUAAGGCUUCAUUGUAUGUGUAUUGGUGUUUUGCCUGUAUGUAUACUCUGUGCAUGGCUGGUACCUGAGGAGGUCAGAAGAGGGCAUUAGAUCCCCUGGAACUGGAGUUACAGGUGGGUGUGAGCCACCGUGUGUGUGUGUGUGUGUGUGUGUGUGUGUGCUGGGAGUUAAACCUGGGUCCUCUGGAUGGGCAGCCAGUGCUGUCAACCACUGAGCCAUCUCUCCAGCCCCCAUCCAUGAACAUUGAAAUGUUCACCCUAUACUUCUAACUGUUGGGGUGUCUGUUACACAACCUGGGAACUUCAGACUGUGUACAACUGUGCUCUCCCAAGUCUACGUUCCACCUCCUCUCCGCCUGAUGCCCUUCCCCCACUGUGUUUGAUGCCUUUGGAUAUUCAUUCCAUUACGAACAGUGGCCAGCCAGGUGUGGAGUCCAAACUGUCAAUAGUGAUAAUGCAAAGUAAAGCCUUUAUGUCUGGCUUUGAGUAAAAUGUUUCAGCAGAGCCUAUGCUAAGUUUGGGUCGAUCCAUAGAGGCUGAGAAGUAUUUUGAGGCUGUUUGAACUUAGAGAAGAAAUGUUGUGUCUCUCGAAGGUCCGCACUUGGUGCUACCUGAGAGCUUGCCGCCACACAAACCUUGAUCCUAAGACACGCGUGGCAAACCUGGAGUUCUUCCUCUUGAUUUCCGGCUAGCCGUGAUCAAAGCGACUGAAGUUCGUAUGGGUCAUUUGCUCUCUCUGGUAGCAAAGGAAAGAAAACCAACCUUGGUAGUUGGAACCUUUCCCAGACCUAAUUAAUUUUGUCUAAUGAUUGAAUAAACGUAACUGGCGUGAGCUAGAUGUGGUCCAGCCUUUUUUUUUUUUUUUCCCAAGAAGGCCGAACCUCUCUGCAUCCUUUGAAAAAUGAAGGUUUAGCAUCUUGGUGAGCUUCUCUCUCUAGUGCGGCACCUACAACUGACAUCAGUUCGACAGAGGGAAACUGUGCCUUGAGAUCAAAAUCAAAGAGCCUGAAGCGACAUCUCGGUGAUUAAGAACGUGCAUUGCUCUGGCUGAGGAUGUGAGUUCAGGUGCCCACCCAGAACAGAAAAGGAUGCCGAGUCUCCUGGAGCUGGAAUUACAGUCACUGUAAGCUGCUCUCGGCCUGCCUGUACCCCACGGAAGUUGGAACAUAUUGGAAUAACUGCACCCAUGGCUGUCAAGGACUACCUGGGCCUCUGGACUAACAUGGCAGGAAUUGUAACUUCUUCCUCAGCUUUCUCAACGGCAGUUUUAUUUAUGCAUUUCCUUUCUUCAGUCUGUUUUGGCUGGCUGGCCGUCAAGCGCCAUGGAGCCAACUGCUCUCCAUCUCCCCGUGCUAGAAUUGCGUCUGCGCAGUAGGUCACCCAGCCUCUUGACGUUGGCUCUGGGCUCGAACUGGAGUUCUCCGGCCAUCAUUUUUCCACAGUGAGCAUCUCACCAACGGAGUCUUCAUCUAACCAUUGUUCCUGGGUUUUUGAGACACAGUCUGGACACAUAGUUCGGGCUAGCUUAGAACUCAAUGCUGAGACCAGGUUGGCGUCAAACUUGGAACAGUCCUCCUGCCUUAGCCUCGGGAAUGCUAGGGUUAUAAGCACAUACCAGCAGGCUUGGCUCUAGCAAUUUCUUGGAACAUGGUGAGAUUUCAGGCUACAUUAACUACAUGGAGCUUGGAUCUGAAACAGCCCGUGGGAGUGCCGCCGUGAGAUGGGUUCCAUCCCCAGGACUGCAUACACCCUGUGUGGUGGAGGCAGGAGGAUCAGGAGUUCAGAAUUAGGCUGAUCUACAUAAUGAGCCUGGGUUACAUGAGACCAUCUCUCAAAAACCAAACAAAGCCACGUGUCAUGCAUGCUUUAGAAUGGUCUUAGUUACUUAAAUUGCUGUCUCUAAUUUUCAUUCUCUGCCCAAGACCAUGUUUUCUUCUGAUGGGCUGAUUGCACGUGGUUAGGAACUUCCUGGUUCCGUCUAAUUGAGACCAAGUUAACAUCUGAGGGUAUAGACCCUGGCCAACAGUGUGAUCUCCUUAGUCCCCAGAAGAUGACCAUCAUUUUCCCUUCUUGUCUGCAAGAAGACAGGUGAUAAUUAAAUGACUCCUGGCACCUCUUCAUCCUGGAGUCUCCCUGGUCCCAGGUAGCCACCCACACAAUGGUGGUGUCUACCGCCCUCUUGUGGCGGAGGGAGUUUUUGUUCUUUCCAGUUUCUCAUCUGACAAAAAGUUCCAACAGCAGGGUGGCAGAAGUGAGUGGGUGAGUGUGGGUGUCAAAUAUUUACAUCUGAGCAUCGCGCUAAGUGACAUUAGGGGUAAAUGCGGAGGAGGAUCCAGAGACCCCGGUAAGCUGAACACCUUUAAGCAAGAUCCAGGUUGCCAAAUGAGGUGGGUUUGGCCAAAUGCUGCUUGUUUUCUAAUGUUAAUUUGGGUCCCCAAAACUGCAAGUAGUGUCUGUAAGUAGCUUCUGGGAACCUGCCCCCAAUGGAAUCUGACUGUUAAAUAAAAAUGCCAACAGCCAAGCUGGGGAGGACAGACAGAGGUCGGGUAUUUUUAAUUUCCUGGGGCUUGGGACAGACGGAGAAGGGUAGCUACCAUGUGAAGGAGCCGGGAGAGUGUGGCCAGAGAGGAUUGCCCAGCUGGGUCCAGGGCAGCGAAGAGAGAACAGAGAUUAUUGGCACGUGGAGGUUAGGCAGUGGCCCAGCUAUUGAGCUACUUAAGGCCUAUCAAAAUAUAAAGGCUGUGUGGGGGGAGGGGGAGGAAUGUCUUUCUUUGGGGAACAUAUAUCAUUGAGGCGGGUGGUGAGCCUGCCACUGGGACUUAUUAAUUAAUUAUUUAAUUCAACAGCCAAACAACCAGAGACCUGUUUCAGCGUGUUGAAGAGCCCAGAUGCAGAUCUCAACAGAGAGUUACCCACGUGUCAUCUGUCAUCGGAGAUGCUCUGUACAGAUAUGCCCAAAACAAAUAUGGUGCUCACGACUGAAGACCGGGCUUUUCUGGUUUUGUGAUUUGAGAGACUUUGGGAUCCUAGAAUGAAGGUCUUCUGGUAUUUAUAUUGGAAUAUGGUUUUUUGUUGCUUUUGCUACUGUUCAAGUUUUACGACUUGUUUUCAUUUAUGUAUGCAUUUGUGUAGAAAGCAUACCAAGUGUAUGCAGAUGCCUGCAGUAGCCAGAAGAGGGCGUCAGAUCCCUGGAGCUGGAGUUACAGGUGAGCCACCAAGCAUGGGUGCUUGGUUCCUCUGCAAGAGCACUAUGCACUCUCGACUGCGGUUCUAGUGGAUAUAUUUUUUAAAUCAUCAUCAUCAAAGCUGGGCAGUGGCGGCGCACGCCUUUAAUCCCAGCACUC